rnacentral:rRNA from 1 species
UACGAAGGGGGCUAGCGUUGUUCGGAUUUACUGGGCGUAAAGCGCGUGUAGGCGGGUCGUUAAGUUGGGGGUGAAAUCCCGAGGCUCAACCUCGGAACUGCCUUCAAAACUGGCGACCUGGAGCAAAGAAGAGGCGAGUGGAAUUGCGAGUGUAGAGGUGAAAUUCGUAGAUAUUCGCAGGAACACCAGUGGCGAAGGCGACUCGCUGGUCUUUUGCUAACGCUGAGACGCGAAAGCGUGGGGAGCAAACAGG